rnacentral:rRNA from 1 species
AACGCUAGCUACAGGCUUAACACAUGCAAGUCGAGGGGCAGCAUUUUAGUUUGCUUGCAAACUAAAGAUGGCGACCGGCGCACGGGUGAGUAACACGUAUCCAACCUGCCGAUAACUCGGGGAUAGCCUUUCGAAAGAAAGAUUAAUAUCCGAUAGUAUAUUAAAACCGCAUGGUUUUACUAUUAAAGAAUUUCGGUUAUCGAUGGGGAUGCGUUCCAUUAGUUUGUUGGCGGGGUAACGGCCCACCAAGACUACGAUGGAUAGGGGUUCUGAGAGGAAGGUCCCCCACAUUGGAACUGAGACACGGUCCAAACUCCUACGGGAGGCAGCAGUGAGGAAUAUUGGUCAAUGGGCGAGAGCCUGAACCAGCCAAGUAGCGUGAGGGAUGAAGGCUCUAUGGGUCGUAAACCUCUUUUAUAUGGGAAUAAAGUUUUCCACGUGUGGAAUUUUGUAUGUACCAUAUGAAUAAGGAUCGGCUAACUCCGUGCCAGCAGCCGCGGUAAUACGGAGGAUCCGAGCGUUAUCCGGAUUUAUUGGGUUUAAAGGGAGCGUAGGUGGAUUGUUAAGUCAGUUGUGAAAGUUUGCGGCUCAACCGUAAAAUUGCAGUUGAAACUGGCAGUCUUGAGUACAGUAGAGGUGGGCGGAAUUCGUGGUGUAGCGGUGAAAUGCUUAGAUAUCACGAAGAACUCCGAUUG